GACGGGGCUGGGCCCGCACGCUGCUGCUGCUGCUGCUGCUGCUGCUGCUGCUGCUGCUGCUGCCGCCGCCUCCUCCAGGCCACCCUCAGCCCUAGAGACGGAGCGCCCCGGUCCCUCCUGAUCCCUGCCAACGCCCCCAGCCUCUCCGCCUCUCCGCCUUCCUUCCACCCGCGGACAAUAGCUAUGGCCACUAAGAAAAACUCCAAGAGUUCCGAGUUGGUUUUCGGUGGGAAAUACAAGUUGCUGAAGAAGAUCGGGGCCGGCUCCUUCGGGAAAAUCUACCUGGCGGUCAACGUCUCCAACGGCGAGGAGGUAGCGGUGAAGCUGGAGUCUCAGAAGGCCCGGUCCCCCCGGCUGCUGCACGAGAGCAAGCUCUACAAGGCCCUUCAGGGAGGAGUGGGCAUCCCCCACAUCCGCUGGUAUGGCCGGGAUAAAGGCUACAACGUGCUGGUCAUGGACCUCCUGGGCCCCAGCCUCGAAGACCUCUUCAAUUUCUGCUCCCGCAAGUUCACGAUGAAAACCGUGCUCAUGCUGGCCGACCAGAUGAUCAGUAGACUCGAGUAUGUGCACGCAAAGAACUUCAUACACAGAGACAUCAAACCAGAUAAUUUCCUCAUGGGCACUGGGCGUCAUUCCAAUAAGUUAUUCCUUAUUGACUUUGGUUUGGCCAAAAAGUACCGAGAUACCAAAACCAAGCAGCACAUUCCCUACAGAGAAGAUAAAAACCUCACUGGCACUGCCAGGUACGCCAGCAUCAAUGCACAUCUUGGCAUUGAGCAGAGCCGUGGGGAUGACAUGGAGUCCCUAGGGUACGUGCUCAUGUAUUUUAACAGGACCAGCUUACCCUGGCAAGGACUCAAUGCCGCAACAAAGAAGCAAAAGUACGAGAAGAUAAGCGAGAAGAAAUUGUCCACUUCUGUCGAAACUUUGUGUAGGGGCUUCCCAGCCGAAUUUGCCAUGUAUCUCAACUAUUGCAGGGGUCUACGAUUUGAAGAAGCACCAGAUUAUUUGUACCUGAAACAACUAUUUCGUGCCCUUUUCAAGACUCUGAACCAUCAAUACGAUUAUACAUUUGAUUGGACAGCAAUAAAACAGAACAUGGCCCAGUCAGCAGCCUCAUCUAGUGGGCAGGGUCAGUAGGUCUAAACCCUUAGGGAUUUCUAAGCAUGAAGAGAACAGAUGAAAUAGAGCAGAUCAUUGGAGCAGAAUUUAAAGCUCCCCAAACAUAGAAGUUUAAUUUGUAGGUGCACUUGCCAGUGGUUGUGAGCAACCAUUUACUUCAUGUAAAGAAUUUAAUUUCAGUAUAAACUGGCUCUGGGAAGUUGUAGCCACCCUAAUUGUGAAUAUUAACUGAAAGAAUGAAACAUGGUGUCCAGUUUUUUUGUUUCAUUUUUUUAAGUGGAAAAAAUUAAAUGGUUGACACAAGUGAUGGA